GACGAACGCUGGCGGCGUGCUUAACACAUGCAAGUCGAACGGAAAGGCCCUGCGUUUGUGGGGUGCUCGAGUGGCGAACGGGUGAGUAACACGUGAGUAACCUGCCCUUGACUUUGGGAUAACUUCAGGAAACUGGGGCUAAUACCGGAUAGGAGCCCCUGCUCCAUGGUGGGUGUUGGAAAGUUUCGGCGGUUGGGGAUGGACUCGCGGCUUAUCAGCUUGUUGGUUGGGUAGUGGCUUACCAAGGCAUUGACGGGUAGCCGGCCUGAGAGGGUGACCGGGCACAUGGGGACUGAGAGACGGACCAGACUCCUACGGGAGGCAGCAGUGGGGAAUAUUGCACAAUGGGCGGAAGCCUGAUGCAGCGACGCCGCGUGCGGGAUGACGGCCUUCGGGUUGUAAACCGCUUUCGCCUGUGACGAAGCGGGAGUGACGGUAAUGGGUAAAGAAGCACCGGCUAACUACGUG
rnacentral:rRNA from 1 species